rnacentral:lncRNA from 1 species
CUAAAGACUCUGGUCUUUAGGCAACAAAGAGUUCAAGAAAAUAUACUAACAACACAACUGCAGAUCAACAUCUUGGGUCAGACUAGAACAUGUCAGGAUGGGGUGACUAUCAAGACCACGGCAGUGGAGAUAAUUAUGGGAGCACAUUUGUUUUUAGGAAAGAAUCAGAACUGGAUCUUGGAGGAAGAGUCACAUAUGGUGAGGAAAAUGAUGAAGAUGAGCAUCAAGAAGAUACAAAGGUUCGAAAGAUAACCAAGGUCAAAAACUGGAUUCCUUCAGAACCACCAUCUAGAACUGGCUGGCUUCUUUACAAAAGAUUUUGUGACCAGUAACUGGCAAAGUUGGGAUUUGAACCCAGUGUGUAGCAUUGGAAACUGAGUAUGUAACACCAUUUGGGGCCAUUUUUGGAAUG